rnacentral:miRNA from 4 species
UCUUGUGUUCUCUAGAUCAGU